rnacentral:rRNA from 1 species
UACAGAGGUGGCAAGCGUUGUUCGGAAUUACUGGGCGUAAAGGGCGCGUAGGCGGUCUUGUAAGUCUCGUGUGAAAUCCCUCGGCUUAACUGAGGAACUGCACGGGAUACUGCAUGACUUGAGAUCGGGAGAGGGAAGCGGAAUUCCGGGUGUAGCGGUGAAAUGCGUAGAUAUCCGGAGGAACACCGGUGGCGAAGGCGGCUUCCUGGACCGACACUGACGCUGAGGCGCGAAAGCCAGGGGAGCAAACGGG